rnacentral:tRNA from 1 species
GGCGCUGCUGGGUCAGGUCGGCCUGCCGUCGCCCAUCAUGCGACGCGUGCUGGUUCAUGCCCGACUCGGCGCCGCC